AUGGGAAACGUUGCGUGCCGGUCGACCGGCCGAACACUGCGCCGGUCCCUUGUGUUGCGCCACGCGUUUUCUCUAUUGGCCCACAACCGCUUUUGUUUCUUUCGUUCUUAUCUUCGCCAGGACUUCUCUCGUCCACUCAUUUCUCUUCCCGUGCGUCUUCCUCCUCUCAUCUAUCUCUUCUCACGCUGCUCCAUCGCUCCAUCGCCCCAAACUUUGGUCUCCGAUGCUGCUCCUCCCCCACACGCUUUGGUCUCCGGUGCUGCUCCUUCGCCAUCGCUCUCUUCUCCACAACCCUCCUGCUUCCCCCAUCUUCUUCAUCUAGCAAACAUCACCAUGGAUGGAUUGGAUGAGAGCUACAAGACCCACACGCCAGCACCGGUGGUGCGCGCUGGGAGCAGCCCGCCGGGAUGUUGCAACCGGUGGUGCGUGCUGCUGGGGCCGGCAACUACGGAUCGGCGGCGACCCAGUUUUUUUGCUGGAACGGACCAAUUUUUUUGCUGCGAUCCAGCGACGGCAAUCUGUUUGUUUUUGCUGGAACCACACUUUGUUUUUGCUGGAACCAUGUUUUUUGUUUGCUGGAACCAUGUAUUUUUUUUGUUUUGUCGGUCAUUGCCAAUGCUAUGCGAAACCAUUUUUUUUUGUUUUUGCUGGAACCAUACUUUGUUUUUGCUGGAACCAUGUAUUUUUUUUGUUUUCUUGGUCAUUGCCAAUGCUAUGCGAAACCAUGUUUUUUGCUGGAACCAUACUCUGUUUUUGCUGGAACCGUACCUUUUGUUUGUUGUAACCAUGUUUUUGCUAGAACCAUCUUAUUUUUGCUGGAGCUAUGAUUGA
rnacentral:rRNA from 1 species